GCCAAACUAAUUUUACAGUUUAUUCAAUCAAAACAGAGAUUACGAAGGCAUCGAUCAAUAUGCAGGGGAAAUAAUGCAGAUAAGAAGAAUCUACAAAGAAAGUGUUCUCAGGCAAACCGCGAACGAAUAUUGCACUUGGCGAUGUGAAGAGAGGUGAAAGGUCACUUCCGACUUUUCGUGAGAUCCGAGGGUAGGUCAGAAUGCGGCGACGAUGAGGACGUCGAAUCCGGUAGCGACAAAACUUUCGAUGAUAUCGGCACCGAGAGACCCGCUGCUGUCAUCGCGACGCUCAAAGGUUUGCAGAGCCUCUUCAAUCGCAAGUGGAAAACUGCAAAAUCAGACUCCGGCAUUCAACAAAUAAUAGGCAAAAAUACCUGCAUCCUGGGGUAUUUGAACCGGUUGUCCAUUUUGCCCGAUACUAAGGAGAACGCCGGGGCUCGGAGAGUAGACGACAUUCUGAGGCAUCGGAUAAAUCAUUCCGGAUGCAAAGGGCGACAUGCUACCUGAAAAAUGAAGUCCUAAUUACCUCCUUUCGUGAAUAAUUCACAUUCAUAUAUGCACGUAAAUGAAAUGUCGACGAUUCACAGCAGAUGAUCGUUGUAGGUAUGUACAUAUUCGAAAAUCACGUUCGCAAGUUAACGCGCGAUCUCGUCGAGAAUAAUGCAAUACCUCCAUUCAAUCACGUGUCGCAUAACGUGCCUGUAAUCAAUCCGCCCAAGGACACGACGGGGGGUUAUUCUGAUUCUUUGUAGUUCACGCCAGGGGCUAUUUUCUUGGAAUCAUCAAUCAAUCGAGGAGAAUUGGAAAAUAAUAUCCGACCAUCUUGUUACACAGUCUAGCACGAUAAACUGGAGUAGGAAUUAUAGCAUCAUUGGAGAACGUGACCAAACGUCGACGAAGCCACUUUUCGAAAGUGACGAAAUAAAGAGAUCCGCCAUUUUUUUAAACAGAAAUUCGUCUCUUCAAAAUGUAAACGAAAUUUUUAUCAAUCGAGCUUGAUUAUAUCUUUAAACGGUUACUGAUACAACUUCUGCUUAUAUAAACAAGGACAUAAUUUGUUCUUAUUUUGAGCCGUCAUUUCACCAUUUGUUGCUAUAUUGACCUCGAACUAUUCGUGAAUUUUUGAAAUUUAUCAUCAGCGAGAGCGUAGCAUUGAUUAAGCACGAAUGAUCAAAACUUCAUAGGUAACCUAUACAUUCGUCAAAUGUUCUUCUAACCUGUACGAAAUUUGAAAUUUAAAAAUAAAAAAUUUAUUUAUACGGGA
rnacentral:lncRNA from 1 species